rfam:Schistosoma mattheei strain Denwood, Zambia genome assembly, scaffold: SMTD_scaffold0001800
AGUCUUCUGAAUUCGUGCUGAGAUUUCGUCAGACUAUCAGGACUAAUGAGACUCUCAAGAUAAUUGGAGCG